AGUGUAAUGAAUCCCUCGCAGUACUUCCAUCCCUAAGAAACUGCCUACAAAUCUGUCAUAUUUUGCCCAUAGUUUAAGACUUCAUUUGAAGUGGAAGUAGGAGCACUGUAGUCUGUGUGCCAUGAUUUAUGCUGUUAAUGCCCAACUGAGCUGAAAGGAGUUUAUUUGCAUAUCCUCUGUGGAGUUGUGGGGGCUAGGUGAAACUUAAAUGAUGCCUCUGAUCAUAAGAACACUGUCCCCAGGCAGGGAAGCUGUUUUGCCCAGGAACAAUCUUCAUUCCUCACCUGCAGAGCUUAUGUUGCCCCCACACCAUGACUGCACAGAGCAAGAGGGGAAGCACAGCUCCAUGAGCUCCAAACACCAGACGUUCCUCAACUUCCUUCUUGUGUGCCUCAGAAAACAUCAGAGUUAUGGGCAUGAUCUCCAGUGUCUGGAAGAUGGUGAUCUCCAACGUGUAUGGGGACAUGGGGAGCUGCCAGCAGCCCCAGAGGAGCUGGGGUGCAGGUUAGGACUGAGGGGCUCCCUGCUGAGGGUGGCUGGAGUGGCAGAGGUUGAUGCUGCCCACACAGCUUGGGGCAGCAAACCCUUCCCCAGAGGCAUCCCACAGCACAUCUGACCUGCUGCAGCUCCCAGCCUGAGGUAUUAAUAAUUAAAAUCGAUACUGUUGACAUCACAAUCCUGAGCAGCAAGUUCCAGUGGGGUAAAGGCAAACAGGUCUCCUCUCUAUCUUCCUCCACUGGAAGGAGCACAGGUGCAAAACCUCCCAGUUUCUGCAAGAACAUCCCUACAAUCAGUGACCAUAAUCCAGCCUAAAUUAAGUGAAGCCAUCCAUCGGUUCACAUCAGCAGGAAGGCUGUGCAGUUUCCAUGCCAGACAUAUGGUCUCUCGCUAGAUUUACCUGCAACUGGUUUGUGAGGGCAAAAAUGACCUUUUGCUGUGCUCAUCUGUAUUGCAAGCAUGCUGUUCUGUGAGGGAAGAGAAACGGAGACAGUUUAGACAGGUCACAAUAUCUCAAUGGGACAAUUGCCGGAAUAAUUGUGCUAUUUCAUGCUCACCGGCAGAACAGGCCAUUGUAGGAGCAGGAUGUCAGGAGAUGACAACGAUGCAUUUCAGAUCACAAAAUCCAGGCAGAAUUUGUAUCAUGUGGUUGCAGUGCAACUUCACCUGCAGUGUACUGGAAAGGAAAUGAUACCUUAGUAAAGCUAAUAAA